rnacentral:rRNA from 1 species
ACCGGCGCACGGGUGCGUAACACGUAUACAAUCUGCCUUUAACAGGGGGAUAGCCCGGAGAAAUCCGGAUUAAUACCCCAUAAUACUCUGAGUAGCACUACUUGAAGUUGAAAGCUCCGGCGGUUAAAGAUGAGUAUGCGUCUGAUUAGCUAGUUGGUGAGGUAACGGCUCACCAAGGCGACGAUCAGUAGGGGAUCUGAGAGGAUUAACCCCCACACGGAUACUGAGACACGGAUCCGACUCCUACGGGAGGCAGCAGUAAGGAAUAUUGGACAAUGCCCGCAAGGGUGAUCCAGCCAUGCCGCGUGCAGGAAGACGGCCCUAUGGGUUGUAAACUGCUUUUACACCGGAGAAAACCCCACUACGUGUAGUGGGCUGAUAGUAUGGUGAGAAUAAGCAUCGGCUAACUUCGUGCCAGCAGCCGCGGUAAGACGAAGGAUGCAAGCGUUAUCCGGAUUCAUUGGGUUUAAAGGGAGCGUAGGCGGCCUGAUAAGUCAGC